AACAGGUCCACUGGGGAACCACUUCCUCCAAGGCCAGGAAACAGGCCUGCUGGGGAACCACUUCCUGGGAGGCCAGGAACUAGACCCACUGGGCUACCACUUCCUCUGGGGAACCACUUCCUCAAGGGCCAGAAAAUAGGUUGCCCAGAGGUUAGGCCCAGGUACCCUGGUUGACUCCUUCUAGAAAAGACACUGAGCAAGUCGUGUUCUGGAACAUAAAACCUCAGCCAUAAAGAAGAUCUAAGAAGAGAAGCUACCCUGAAAUGUGAGAGCUUGACCUCGAAACAACACCGAAAAGAAAACUGGACCAAAGAAAACAUAUAGGAUAUGUGCAUUUCUUAGUCAUCUAUAAGGACCAUGGCCCUAUGUCGAAGGACUGUUCAGUCAAAUGAUAAUAUUG